CCCUUAGAUGGCCUGGGCUGCACGUGCGCUACAAUGACUGAGCCAGCGAGUAUUACCCUUCUCCGUCGGGAGUGGGCAAUCUUUUGAAACUCAGUCGUGUUAGGGAUUGAUCCUUGCAAUUAUCCCCCAUGAACGAGGAAUUCCCAGUAAGCGCGAGUCAUCAGCUCGCGUUGAUUACGUCCCUGCCCUUUGUACACACCGCCCGUCGCUACUACCGAUUGGAUGGUUUAGUGAGACCCUCGGAUCGGUCCCGACUCGGGGUGGGCUUCUGCCCCGGUCGUGGUUUCGCCGAGAAGACGGUCAAACUUGACUAUCUAGAGGAAGUAAAAGUCGUAACA
rnacentral:rRNA from 1 species